GCUUUUGGUGAACUGAAAAAAAAUAUUUUUGGUGAAAACACUGGAGUCGGCUUGCUACUGUCAGAUAACGGAAAACGUUAAAUGUUGUAUCGUUUCUCCUUCAGCACGGAGUCGCGGUUUAAGCAGAAAUGAAAUAUAACAAGACAGGCGUCUUAGAGAAUAUACGUCUCUAAGUCCGCCUUUCUCUGAAUAAACUGAGCGGGAGGAGACAGACAGUUCAAAGAUGCCACAUAAAGAGAGACAUCAGAAACAAAAAGAAAGGCAGUGGAUUAUUUACCAACUGGGUCAACUGUACCAAUCAUUCACAUUAAAAGGCAAGAGACUGAAAUAAAUAAGACUUCACUCAACACAGAGAAGAUGAGACAAUGAGGAAAAAAAGAAAAGAGAAACUGACAAGAAAAAAA